rnacentral:rRNA from 1 species
GAUGAACGCUGGCGGCGUGCCUAAUACAUGCAAGUCGAGCGAACAGACGAGGAGCUUGCUCCUCUGACGUUAGCGGCGGACGGGUGAGUAACACGUGGAUAACCUACCUAUAAGACUGGGAUAACUUCGGGAAACCGGAGCUAAUACCGGAUAAUAUAUUGAACCGCAUGGUUCAAUAGUGAAAGACGGUUUUGCUGUCACUUAUAGAUGGAUCCGCGCCGCAUUAGCUAGUUGGUAAGGUAACGGCUUACCAAGGCAACGAUGCGUAGCCGACCUGAGAGGGUGGUCGGCCACACUGGAACUGGACCACGGUCCAGACUCCUACGGGAGGCAGCAGUAGGGAAUCUUCCGCAAUGGGCGAAAGCCUGACGGAGCGACGCCGCGUGAGUGAUGAAGGUCUUCGGAUCGUAAAACUCUGUUAUUAGGGAAGAACAAAUGUGUAAGUAACUAUGCACGUCUUGACGGUACCUAAUCAGAAAGCCACGGCUAACUACGUG